UCAGAUCAAGAGCUUGCGGGGACCUUUUUUUAUGGUGCUACUUGAUUUCUUUGGUUUACUUGAGUUGGAUUGAAGUUCUAUUGAUCGAGGAUACUUUGCACUUCAUGUGUUGUUGCUUGAUGUGAACUCUAGGAUGCAUGCGCCACAUAGGAUCUGGACGAGGCCUUAGUGACAUAAUAACAAUGAUAGUCGAGAUGUAGUUUGUUUGUUCUAUGUUAAGACAAUGUUGAUGUUUAAUUUUAUCAAUAAAACGGAACUCUUUUUGUAUCCAUGGUUGUGAAACAAUAAUUCUGUUACAAC
rnacentral:lncRNA from 1 species